rnacentral:sRNA from 1 species
GAGAUCUCAGACUUCAUCACAGAACAAGAGAACA